GUGGGGAAUCUUAGACAAUGGGGGCAACCCUGAUCUAGCCAUGCCGCGUGAUCGAUGAAGGCCUUCGGGUUGUAAAGCUCUUUUACCCGGGAAGAUAAUGACUGUACCGGGAGAAUAAGCCCCGGCUAACUCCGUGCCAGCAGCCGCGGUAAUACGGAGGGGGCUAGCGUUGUUCGGAAUUACUGGGCGUAAAGCGCGCGUAGGCGGACCAGAAAGUUGGAGGUGAAAUCCCAGGGCUCAACCUUGGAACUGCCUUCAAAACUCCUGGUCUGGAGUUCGAGAGAGGUGAGUGGAAUUCCGAGUGUAGAGGUGAAAUUCGUAGAUAUUCGGAGGAACACCAGUGGCGAAGGCGGCUCACUGGCUCGAUACUGACGCUGAGGUGCGAAAGCGUGGGGAGCAAACAGGAUUAGAUACCCUAGUAGUCC
rnacentral:rRNA from 1 species